CAGUAAAAGAAAUGGACACAGCGACCCCGUUGAUUUCAACGGAGAGACUUGAAGCCCGAUAUGAGCACUCACUUCCUGAUAGCCAAGCGUUCUGCGCAGGCUCAAACUGAGCUUGACGACGUAGAUGUCACGUGAGCAAACUGACUGACAGUUGUAAAUCUUCUAGUAGCUGUGCCAAGACAAAUCUGAAUCACCUAACGUUAAUCUCGCAGAGACGGCGAAGCGCGACCUGGAGCAACUUUUGGUUCAAAUACAAACUGCACUUAAGCACUUAAGCUAACACCAUGGCUGACAACAAAGCUACAUUCGUCAUGGGGAAGAGAGGGCCCGAGAGACCAUAGGGGCCAAGGUACACUAGUUUUGGCUGUGUGGACUU